GAUGAACGCUGGCGGCGUGCCUAAUACAUGCAAGUAGAACGCUGAAGCUUGGUGCUUGCCCCGAGCGGAUGAGUUGCAAACGGGUGAGUAACGCGUAGGUAACCUGCCUCUUAGCGGGGGAUAACUAUUGGAAACGAUAGCUAAUACCGCAUAAAAGUUGACAUUGCAUGAUGUUGAUUUGAAAGAUGCAAUUGCAUCACUAAGAGAUGGACCUGCGUUGUAUUAGCUAGUUGGUGAAGUAACGGCUCACCAAGGCGACGAUACAUAGCCGACCUGAGAGGGUGAUCGGCCACACUGGGACUGAGACACGGCCCAGACUCCUACGGGAGGCAGCAGUAGGGAAUCUUCGGCAAUGGACGGAAGUCUGACCGAGCAACGCCGCGGGAGUGAAGAAGGUUGUCGGAUCGUAAAGCUCUGUUGUAAGAGAAGAACGAGUGUGAGAGUGGAAAGUUCACACUGUGACGGUAACUUAACAGAAAGGGACGGCUAACUACGUG
rnacentral:rRNA from 1 species